GAUGAACGCUGGCUGUGUGCCUAAUACAUGCAUGCCGAGCGAAGUGAUUUAUCACUUAGCGGCGAAUGGGUGAGUAACACGUGGGCAACCUGCCCUGCAGACUGGGAUAACUUCGGGAAACCGGAGCUAAUACCGGAUAACACCGAAAACCGCAUGGUUUCGGUUGAAAGGCGGCUUUUAGCUGUCACUGCAGGAUGGGCCCGCGGCGCAUUAGCUAGUUGGUGAGGUAACGGCUCACCAAGGCGACGAUGCGUAGCCGACCUGAGAGGGUGACCGGCCACACUGGGACUGAGACACGGCCCAG
rnacentral:rRNA from 1 species